UAGCCUUGACAUUGAUUGAAUUUUCCAGAGAUGGAGAAGUGCCUUUCGGGGAACAUGAAAACAGGUGCUGCACGGCUGUCGUCAGCUCGUGUCGUGAGAUGUUGGGUUAAGUCCCGCAACGAGCGCAACCCUCGUCGUUAGUUGCUAACAGGUUAAGCUGAGCACUCUAGCGAGACUGCCUUCGCAAGGAGGAGGAAGGUGAGGACGACGUCAAGUCAUCAUGGCCCUUAUGGCUAGGGCUACACACGUGCUACAAUGGGGCGUACAGAGAGUUGCGAUACCGCGAGGUGGAGCCAAUCUCAUAAAGCGUCUCUCAGUUCGGAUUGUUCUCUGCAACUCGAGAACAUGAAGCUGGAAUCACUAGUAAUCGUAGAUCAGCAACGCUACGGUGAAUACGUUCCCGGGUCU
rnacentral:rRNA from 1 species